rnacentral:rRNA from 1 species
UACGAAGGGGGCUAGCGUUGCUCGGAAUCACUGGGCGUAAAGGGUGCGUAGGCGGGUCUUUAAGUCAGGGGUGAAAUCCUGGAGCUCAACUCCAGAACUGCCUUUGAUACUGAGGAUCUUGAGUACGGGAGAGGUGAGUGGAACUGCGAGUGUAGAGGUGAAAUUCGUAGAUAUUCGCAAGAACACCAGUGGCGAAGGCGGCUCACUGGCCCGGUAACUGACGCUGAG